GUGUCAGCCGCCGCGGUAAGACGAACCGUGCGAACGUUGUUCGGAUUCACUGGGCUUAAAGGGCGCGUAGGCGGGCUCACCAGUCAGGGGUGAAAGCUCCCGGCUCAACCGGGAAAGUGCCUUUGAUACUGUGAGUCUCGAGGGAGGUAGGGGCACGCGGAACUUCCGGUGGAGCGGUGAAAUGCGUAGAUAUCGGAAGGAACGCCGGUGGCGAAAGCGGCGUGCUGGACCUCUUCUGACGCUGAGGCGCGAAAGCCAGGGGAGCAAACGGGAUUAGAAACCCUAGUAGUCC
rnacentral:rRNA from 1 species